UUGAUGUGGACCGGACAUUCGGCCCACGGGAGUGGGUACUGGAAGGAUUGGAAGAAGUAGAAGAUGCUCCAGCCGAUGAUCACGUUGUAGUAGAGGCCCACGAAGCCGCAAACCUGCCGUUAAAAAGACAGCACCUUGUUUGCGCCAAAUGCCUUGAAGAAACAAAUGUGAUCGUGUGACUUCAUCAUCUUGAGCCUCACUCCAUUGCCACUUAGCAAAAAUGUGUUUGCAAACAUUGAGAAAACGUGUGUUUGAUGGUGUUUGCCACCAAACGUUUGCAAGUUUGCAAAGUUUGGUAAUGCUGACGCAUAUCCAAACCUCAGCGCAUGAGAAUUUUUUUAUUGUUUGGAGAUAUUCACUCUUUGAAGCGUUUGCUGGAAUUCAGCAAAGCCCAGCCAAUCAGAGAAGAGGUGGUGAUCAUGUGAUUGACUUGUUGGACAAAAUUGUAGCUUCCAAGAGCAAGGAAAGAAGUUGGGCUUUUGAAGAAAUAGAAACUUUAAUUGAAGAAUAUGAAAAGUAUUAUUGUUUUUACAGCACAAGAAUGAAUGAUUAGAAGGACAAGUAGGUGGCACCAUUGAUCCAAAUAUCAAGUGUCCAUGGCAUGGAUUUUACAGGUUGUCCUUGCAAGAUUUGCGACAGAGGAGUGCAAAGAAUAAUCAAGAAGCGUUGGCUGAGAGCCAAGGACCAUCUCUGGAGACUUUCAAAUAGACUUGUCACAAGCAAAAUAUUAAACAUUGGGAGAAUACAGUCUGGUCGGAUGAGAGCAAAAUUCAACCGUUUGGCUGCCAUAAUGCACACCACGUUUGGAAAAGAAAUGACACUGCACAUCACCCUAAAAACAUCAUACCAACAGUGAAGUUUGACCCAUAAAAGACGCCGACAGAAUCUUCAAGAUUUGAAAAUUCUUUGUGUGGAAUGAACCAAAACCACAG